rnacentral:rRNA from 1 species
GUGCCAGCAGCCGCGGUAAUACGAAGGUCCCAAGCGUUGUUCGGAAUCACUGGGCGUAAAGGGAGCGUAGGCGGCGUGGUAAGUCAGAUGUGAAAUCCCGGGGCUCAACCCCGGAACUGCAUCCGAUACUGCCAUGCUUGAGGGUUGGAGAGGUAGCUGGAAUUCUCGGUGUAGCAGUGAAAUGCGUGGAUAUCGAGAGGAACACUCGUGGCGAAGGCGAGCUACUGGACAACAUCUGACGCUGAGGCUCGAAGGCUAGGGGAGCAAAAGGGAUUAGAUACCCCCGUAGUCC